rnacentral:rRNA from 1 species
UACGUAGGCAGCGAGCGUUGUUCGGAAUUACUGGGCGUAAAGAGUGUGUAGGCGGUGCUCUAAGUCUGUCGUGAAAUCUCCCGGCUUAACCGGGAGGCUGCGGCGGAAACUGGUGUGCUAGAGGGUGGGAGAGGUAAGCGGAAUUCCUGGUGUAGAGGUGAAAUUCGUAGAUAUCAGGAGGAACACCGGUGGCGAAGGCGGCCAUCUGGACGACAACUGACGCUGAGAUGCGAAAGCGUGGGGAGCAAACAGG